rnacentral:rRNA from 1 species
CAGUAGCCGCGGUAAUACGAAGGGUGCAAGCGUUACUCGGAAUUACUGGGCGUAAAGCGUGCGUAGGUGGUUUCUUAGGUCUGAUGUGAAAGCCCCCGGCUCAACCGGGGAGGGUCAUUGGAAACUUGGAAACUUGAGUGCAGAAGAGGAGAGUGGAAUUCCACGUGUAGCGGUGAAAUGCGUAGAGAUGUGGAGGAACACCAGUGGCGAAGGCGACUCUCUGGUCUGUAACUGACGCUGAGGAGCGAAAGCGUGGGGAGCGAACAGGAUUAGAUACCCCGGUAGUCCCUGUCUCUUAUAC